GUGGGCGAGCCAACGGGUAGGCGGCCGGUUUCCAAGUCCGGCGAAAAGUGGGUUCGACUCCUACCGCCCAUG
rnacentral:tRNA from 1 species